rnacentral:rRNA from 1 species
AACGAACGCUGGCGGCAGGCUUAACACAUGCAAGUCGAACGCACCUUUCGGGGUGAGUGGCAGACGGGUGAGUAACGCGUGGGAAUCUACCCUUCUCUACGGGAUAGCUCCGGGAAACUGGAAUUAAUACCGUAUACGUCCUGAGGGAGAAAGAUUUAACGGGGAAGGAUGAGCCCGCGUUGGAUUAGCUAGUUGGUGGGGUAAAGGCCUACCAAGGCGACGAUCCAUAGCUGGUCUAAGAGGAAGAUCAGCCACACUGGGACGGAGACACGGUCCAAAAUCCUACGGGAGGCAGCAGUGGGGAAUAUUGGACAAUGGGGGCAAGGCUGAUCCAGCCAGGCCGCGUGAGUGAUGAAGGCCCUAGGGUUGUAAAGCUCUUUCAGGGGGGACGAUAAUGACGGUACCCACAGAAGAAGCCCCGGCUAACUUCGUG